CCUACGGGAGGCUGCAGUGGGGAAUAUUGGACAAUGGGCGCAAGCCUGAUCCAGCCAUGCCGCGUGAGUGAUGAAGGCCCUAGGGUUGUAAAGCUCUUUCGCCAGGGACGAUAAUGACGGUACCUGGAUAAGAAGCCCCGGCUAACUUCGUGCCAGCAGCCGCGGUAAUACGAAGGGGGCUAGCGUUGUUCGGAUUUACUGGGCGUAAAGCGCACGUAGGCGGAUUUUUAAGUCAGGGGUGAAAUCCCAAGGCUCAACCUUGGAACUGCCUUUGAUACUGGAAGUCUCGAGUCCGGGAGAGGUGAGUGGAACUGCGAGUGUAGAGGUGAAAUUCGUAGAUAUUCGCAAGAACACCAGUGGCGAAGGCGGCUCACUGGCCCGGUACUGACGCUGAGGUGCGAAAGCGUGGGGAGCAAACAGGAUUAGAUACCCCAGUAGUC
rnacentral:rRNA from 1 species